rnacentral:tRNA from 1 species
UAGCUCAGUGGCAUAAGCACCUGCCUUGCAAGCAGGCGGUCCUGGGUUCGAUCCCCAG